UACCAGCCCCCUGAGUGGUAAGGACGAUUAUUUGGCCUAAAGCGUCCGUAGCCGGCUUGGUCAGUCUUCCGUUAAAUCCGACGAUUCCAUCGUUGGGCCGCGGAAGAUACUACUAGGCUUGAGGACGGGAGAGGUCGACGGUAGUCCCAGGGUAGGGGUGAAAUCCUAUAAUCCUGGGAGGACCACCAGUGGCGAAGGCGGUCGACUAGAACGUGCCUGACGGUGAUGGACGAAAGCUGGGGGAGCGAACCGGAUUAGACACCCGGGUAGUCCCAGCUGUAAACGAUGCGAGCUAGGUGUUGGAGCAACUACGGGUUGCUCCAGUGCCGCAGAGAAGUUGUUAAGCUCGCCGCCUGGGAAGUACGGCCGCAAGGCUGAAACUUAAAGGAAUUGACGG
rnacentral:rRNA from 1 species